AUGGUAGGAGAGCGUUCUGUAAGCCUGCGAAGGUGUCUUGUAAAGGAUGCUGGAGGUAUCAGAAGUGCGAAUGCUGACAUGAGUAGCGAUAAUGGGGGUGAAAAGCCCCCACGCCGUAAGCCCAAGGUUUCCUGUUCAACGUUCAUCGGAGCAGGGUGAGUCGGCCCCUAAGGCGAGGCAGAGAUGCGUAGCUGAUGGGAAGCAGGUUAAUAUUCCUGCACCGUCGUUAGAUGCGAUGGGGGGACGGAUCGCGGAAGGUUGUCCGGGUGUUGGAAGUCCCGGUUCCUAUAUCAGAGAAGGCUGUUAGGCAAAUCCGGCAGCGUAAUUCAAGGGUAUGGGACGAGCCAAUUUAUUGGUGAAGCAAUCGGAAGUGGUUCCAAGAAAAGCCUCUAAGCUUCAGUCUAACGAGACCGUACCGCAAACCGACACAGGUGGGCGAGAUGAGUAUUCUAAGGCGCUUGAGAGAACUCGGGAGAAGGAACUCGGCAAAUUUGUACCGUAACUUCGGGAUAAGGUACGCCCAUGUAGUUUGACUGGCCUGCGCCAGAAGGACGAAAGGGCUGCAAUAAAAAGGUGGCUGCGACUGUUUAAUAAAAACACAGCACUCUGCAAACACGAAAGUGGACGUAUAGGGUGUGACGCCUGCCCGGUGCUGGAAGAUUAAAUGAUGGGGUGCAAGCUCUUGAUUGAAGUCCCAGUAAACGGCGGCCGUAACUAUAACGGUCCUAAGGUAGCGAAAUUCCUUGUCGGGUAAGUUCCGACCUGCACGAAUGGCGUAACGAUGGCCACACUGUCUCCUCCCGAGACUCAGCGAAGUUGAAAUGUUUGUGAUGAUGCAAUCUACCCGCGGCUAGACGGAAAGACCCCAUGAACCUUUACUGUAGCUUUGCAUUGGACUUUGAACCAAUCUGUGUAGGAUAGGUGGGAGGCUUUGAAGCGGGGACGCUAGUUCUCGUGGAGCCAACCUUGAAAUACCACCCUGGUUUGUUUGAGGUUCUAACCUUGGUCCGUUAUCCGGAUCGGGGACAGUGCAUGGUAGGCAGUUUGACUGGGGCGGUCUCCUCCCAAAGUGUAACGGAGGAGUUCGAAGGUACGCUAGGUACGGUCGGACAUCGUGCUAAUAGUGCAAUGGCAUAAGCGUGCUUAACUGCGAGACUGACAAGUCGAGCAGGUACGAAAGUAGGACAUAGUGAUCCGGUGGUUCUGUAUGGAAGGGCCAUCGCUCAACGGAUAAAAGGUACUCUGGGGAUAACAGGCUGAUUCCUCCCAAGAGUUCAUAUCGACGGGGGAGUUUGGCACCUCGAUGUCGGCUCAUCACAUCCUGGGGCUGUAGCCGGUCCCAAGGGUAUGGCUGUUCGCCAUUUAAAGUGGUACGUGAGCUGGGUUUAAAACGUCGUGAGACAGUUUGGUCCCUAUCUGCCGUGGGCGUUGGAAAUUUGAAGGGGGCUGCUCCUAGUACGAGAGGACCGGAGUGGACGAACCUCUGGUGUACCGGUUGUCACGCCAGUGGCAUUGCCGGGUAGCUAAGUUCGGAAGAGAUAACCGCUGAAAGCAUCUAAGCGGGAAACUUGCCUUAAGAUGAUAUUUCCCGGGAACUAGAUUCCCCUAAAGGGUCGUUCGAGACCAGGACGUUGAUAGGCUGGGUGUGGAAGCGUAGUAAUACGUUAAGCUAACCAGUACUAAUUGCCCGUGAGGCUUG
rnacentral:rRNA from 1 species